AUUGAACGCUGGCGGCAUGCCUUACACAUGCAAGUCGAACGGCAGCACGGGAGCAAUCCUGGUGGCGAGUGGCGAACGGGUGAGUAAAGUAUCGGAACGUGCCCAGUCGUGGGGGAUAACGUAGCGAAAGUUACGCUAAUACCGCAUACGAUCUAUGGAUGAAAGCGGGGGAUCGCAAGACCUCGCGCGAUUGGAGCGGCAGAUAUCAGAUUAGGUAGUUGGUGGGGUAAAGGCUCACCAAGCCGACGAUCUGUAGCUGGUCUGAGAGGACGACCAGCCACACUGGGACUGAGACACGGCCCAGACUCCUACGGGAGGCAGCAGUGGGGAGUUUUGGACAAUGGGCGAAAGCCUGUUCCAGCCAUGCCGCGUGCAGGAUGAAGGCCUUCGGGUUGUAAACUGCUUUUGUACGGAACGAAAAGGUUUGGCCUAAUAAGCUGAGCUCAUGACGGUACCGUAAGAAUAAGCACCGGUUAACUACGUGCCAGCAGCCGCAGUAA
rnacentral:rRNA from 1 species